AAUUAUCCAAUUUCAAUACAUUUUUUUUUAGAAAAAUUUUGAUUCAACUAGUUGCCUUGCAAUGGAUUAAAAAAAAAUAAUGUACAUUUAGUUGUCUUGCAAUGGAUUAACAACAAAAGGUUAAAGGCUAGUAUACGCGGACAUGAUAAUGCGGAAAGCGCAAAUCAAAAGAGCACGAGUUUCAAAUGCUAGACAAAUGAAAGAGACAUGUGACUGCUGGUCGAUUUUGGUCUUAUCACUAGGCCUAGGGGUGGGUGUAGUUCGGUUCGGUUUUUUACUAAAUUUUUCAUAAUCGUUCGAUUACGAUUAUUUUAAAAUUAUAAUCGCGAUUAAUCAAAUUACCGGAAUAAUCAAAUACUCGAUUAAUCGAAAUAAUUCGGUUCGAUUCGGUUAUUUCGAUUAUGGGCCUAUUGGACCUAUUUUGUGUUUUUUAAAAUUUAAAACCUUAAAUUAAUAAAUCUACCACAAACAUAAAAAGUUAACAAACAAAAAAUCAAAAUAUGUCUCAAACAAGUGGUAAAAGAGACUAACGAGCAGGUUGGACUCAAACAAGUUUUUCUGUGUUCUCGUCUGGUUAACCACUCAUAUAUAUGAAUACAAGUGAAUAGCUAGGUCUCAUGAAAACAAAUUAAAGCAAAUGCGAAUUUUAAAAAAUCUUUCCUUGUCUUGCACACAUUCUAGUUUCUACAGAAACCUUUGUAUCUCAAGGUUCGUGCAAAGCUGAACGAACAGAAAAACUCUGGUAACUUUUUGCCAAUAAGAGUAUAGGGGUUAGUGACUGCAAUCCAAGAUUGCACAUGGUAUAAAACUCUCUUUAAACAUCAAAUUUGGAAAACUGAAAGAAGCAUAUUCUAACACUUGUCCACAAUCUACAUUUAGAACGAUAGAUUUCCUCAUUGUCAGUUGGAAGCACUUGAUUAGAAUUACAAGAACACUACACAUAUUUCGAGGGUUGGCAAAACCCCGGGCCGAGUCCGGGUAUCGCAAUGACCGGACCCGACCCGGAUGCAUAGAUGCCCGGGUCGGGUUGUGCCCGGCUUUAAUUUGGGUACCCGGAUUUUAUAUUUUUUAACAUUAUAUGUGUAU
rnacentral:lncRNA from 1 species